rnacentral:misc_RNA from 1 species
GUAAAUUUACAUGUAACUUCAAUAGUAUAUGUAUCAUAAAAAAUACCCCAUUAAGAAUGCUAGCUUGAUGUGUUCUACUACAUAUUUGUUUAGUAAAUUCAUAAAUUCUGUCCUCCUCUGAUUUACAAAAUAACUUGGGAUAACCGAAAAAGCAAAGAAUGGCUAAUGAUUUUGAAAUUGAGGAAAAUAAUGGGAUGUUAUAUCUUGAUAUAACUUGGCAUUUAUCAGACUCCAAACAGAGAAUUGUUGUACAAAUAAUCAUUUCAUGCAAUAAAUUCAAAUUUUGCCAUAAAGGCAUAUAAUAUAACCAAUUGCUAAUAUGAAUGACAUAGUCAACACUAUAAGAUAAGCUGCUCAUUGAGAGAGAGAGAGAGAGAGA